rnacentral:ncRNA from 2 species
GGUCAUGAGUGCCAGCGACAAGCCCCGGCUUGCUGGUCGGCAACCCUCCAACCGCGGUGGGGUGCCCCGGGUGAUGAACCAGGUUGAGUAGCCGCUAGCGAGCGGUUGCCGGCAAGCGCGGGUC